UUCGGGUGAAUUGCAGAAUCCCGUGAACCAUCGAGUUUUUGAACGCAAGUUGCGCCCGAAGCCUUUUGGCCGAGGGCACGUCUGCCUGGGCGUCA
rnacentral:rRNA from 1 species